rnacentral:rRNA from 1 species
UCCUACGGGAGGCAGCAGUGGGGAAUAUUGGACAAUGGGGGGAACCCUGAUCCAGCCAUGCCGCGUGUGUGAAGAAGGCCCUCGGGUUGUAAAGCACUUUCAGCGAGGAAGAACGCCUAGCGGUUAAUACCCGCUAGGAAAGACAUCACUCGCAGAAGAAGCACCGGCUAACUCCGUGCCAGCAGCCGCGGUAAUACGGAGGGUGCAAGCGUUAAUCGGAAUUACUGGGCGUAAAGCGCGCGUAGGUGGCUUGAUAAGCCGGUUGUGAAAGCCCCGGGCUCAACCUGGGAACGGCAUCCGGAACUGUCAAGCUAGAGUGCAGGAGAGGAAGGUAGAAUUCCCGGUGUAGCGGUGAAAUGCGUAGAGAUCGGGAGGAAUACCAGUGGCGAAGGCGGCCUUCUGGACUGACACUGACACUGAGGUGCGAAAGCGUGGGUAGCAAACAGGAUAAGAUACCCUGGUAGUCCACGCCGUAAACGAUGUCGACCAGCCGUUGGGUGCCUAGCGCACUUUGUGGCGAAGUUAACGCGAUAAGUCGACCGCCUGGGGAGUACGGCCGCAAGGUUAAAACUCAAAUGAAUUGACGG